rnacentral:lncRNA from 1 species
UUUUAAUAGGAACUUUUGAUGAGAAACUGGUCAGACAUGCCGAGAGGGGCUGAAAGCCUGUCAAGGUCACUGCCAAGGACAAGGGAGUCAAUUAGUAUGCAGAUCAGAGCCAAGGAGUUCAAAGGCAGUCAGCUCAGUGAAAGUGAGGUCAAUCUGACCACACUCUUCCUAAAGGAUCCUCUUCUGAACCAUCUACUUGAGUACACGUCUCCUGACAAAUCAAUGGCAGAAUUGAGAGCUACUGUGAAGUUACAGUCGCAAUAG